GGUAGAGUGGCCGAGCAUUAGGCGGCGGUUUGUAGCACCGUGUACAGAGGUUUAAGUCCUUUUUCUAUCA
rnacentral:tRNA from 1 species